GGCUGUACCUGGGUGCUGUGUCCGCGGGGCGUCCGGAGAUGUCGACGUGGUCACAGCAGGGCCUGGAACAGGGAGGUCUGGCCUGGACUAGAGAAACGAGGGGUGCAUCCGCUUCUCCACCCUGGCCUCAGAUGAAGAGGCUCUGGGGGCAGGAGGGAGUCAGACACGGGCAGGGCAGGCGGCCUGUGCAGGGCCCAACCCUCCGGCACUGGAACCUGACCCCCUCAGAGGCCCCCACCGUGGAGGGAUGUCUAGGGGAUGCUGUGCGCUGCCGCUACGAUGUUUGGUUAGAGAUUAAAGCCAUUUCAGAAGUGGACACCUGCCCGCAAAGGGCUGGGAACCCGGUCUUGACUUUGCCUGGAAUGCCCUUUGGAAAGACCUCUGUCCCUGAGGCUGAGGGACAGUGCCUGCUCCUGCCAGGUGCCCAGCUCUUAAGCGGUUCCCAGUCUCAUGCCGCCUGCCCCGGGGCCUCCCCCAACUCAUUUGUUUAUUUCCCUGUUGGGAAUGUAUUGAUACCUCCAGGGUGCAAGGACGGAACCACACCUGAGGGGUGGACACUCAGCUGGUGCCCAGCAAAUAUCUGUGGAAUUUCCUCCACACAACAGGGAAAGUGAUGGAGACAGAAACCUCUGCAGGCCCCCGAGGGCACCCACCUCUCUGACCCCCAUCCCGCAAGCUGGGCCUAGGGCAUCGGUGGCCUGUGGUCAUGCCCUGGGUGCCAGCGCCUGUGGAGAGUUCAGGAGGCGAAGGGUUUAUCUCAGCUCGGCCCAUGACUGUGUUGAAGGACGGGAGGGAGUGGCCGUGGCUGUGGCUGGAAUCUGAAGCUGGUGUGGGCGGCCAGGGCCCUUCCCUGGGUGGUGACGAGCGAGGACCAGAGCCCUGUCCGCCCGAGGGAAGGGCGAGGGGACACUUCCCGUGGCGGGGGUGGGAUCCUGGUAGCCGGGGCUCAGUGACCGCUGCCUGGGCCACCGCCUAUGGGGACCUGACCUUCCUGGGGAAACCCAUGGGUCAAAGGAGCUGAGAAAUCCAAGCACCAAGUGGCCGCUAGGGCAGGACGGGCGCGUUCGCAGUGGAGAAGCUGGAUGUGUCCGUGGGAAAGGAAAGAAAUGGAAGCAGAGGCUCAUCAGGGGCACCUGGAAACGCAGCCUACACUCUUCCCAGGCCUCCUCCCUCCGUCCACUGUGCCGCCUGGGUCCUGGGACAGCCCGAGGGCCACAGGCUCCCAUGCAAGACCCGCUGGGGGCCUGCUUGUCUGGGGCUGAAUUUGGACUUCAUGGGGCUAUGGCUUUAAUGUCACAAUAACCGAUAACCAGUGAACUGAAGCCAGGACAGCACCGCGAGCACCAAGUCAGAGCAUUUUCACGAGGGAACAGGAACAGAGUGCGAGGCUGCCCCCGCCGCGUCCUCCGGGAGGCGCCUUCCCAGGGGAGUGCAAGGCUGCCUGCUGUGACCAGGCCACCAAAGCACCUUCUUCACCGCCAGGCAUCUUUUGAGGCACACGAACAUCAGAGGCCCCAGCUACAUGCUCUGGAGGAGAAGCUGAGAGCCCCAGGCCACAGGCAGGGCAGCCUCCAAGGGCCGGCUCAGGGAGAGUGGCCAGAGCUUCUGGCCUGGGGCAGGUGGACCCGUUAGAAACUGCAUGUGUUGCCUCUGGCACCAGCCACAGCAAGAGAUUCUCUUCCUAUCACACAGGGAACAAACUCAAGUAUCUUGACCCUGCCCUCCUCUCCCCAGCUGGCCGCACUUGGGGACGCUGAUGCCACAAAGGAA
rnacentral:antisense_RNA from 1 species